GAUGAACGCUGGCGGCGUGCCUAAUACAUGCAAGUCGAGCGAACAGACGAGGAGCUUGCUCCUCUGACGUUAGCGGCGGACGGGUGAGUAACACGUGGAUAACCUACCUAUAAGACUGGGAUAACUUCGGGAAACCGGAGCUAAUACCGGAUAAUAUAUUGAACCGCAUGGUUCAAUAGUGAAAGACGGUUUUGCUGUCACUUAUAGAUGGAUCCGCGCCGCAUUAGCUAGUUGGUAAGGUAACGGCUUACCAAGGCAACGAUGCGUAGCCGACCUGAGAGGGUGAUCGGCCACACUGGAACUGAGACACGGUCCAGACUCCUACGGGAGGCAGCAGCAGGGAAUCUUCCGCAAAGGGCGAAAGCUUGACGGAGCAACGCCGCGUGAGUGAUGAAGGUCUUCGGAUCGUAAAACUCUGUUAUUAGGGAAGAACAAAUGUGUAAGUAACUAUGCACGUCUUGACGGUACCUAAUCAGAAAGCCACGGCUAACUACGUG
rnacentral:rRNA from 1 species